GGAAGUUUAAUCGUGUGUACGCUGUGCCGGGAGGAAAUGUCGUGCCCCUUGUGUGCAAUGACGAUCACUUAACCCCUGGGACCGCGUAACGUAGCUCGCAGUAUCUUUCGUGUGGUGCGCCGAUGUCGAUUAUCGAUGUCGAUUAUCGACCCGUUCGCGCUUUCUUUGUUCCCGGCUCAUGAAAAAGGCUCUCAUACCAUCGCAUUCGAUCACAGUGCACGGAAGAAUUUGUUGGAAGUUGUGCUAUCAGGUGCUGUAGGUCAUCCGCAAUUCAACAGUGUUCACGUCGGAAGGAUCGUCGGUGCAGUCGACGCCGCGUCACCUGUGAAACGAAGGAGCGUUUGCCGAGUACGCCUAGAAAGGGAUGUCAAGAUUUCGUGAACCAGAGGCAUCUCUACACCACAUACGAACCUGAGAAAUUUCUGCAGCCGGAACAGCACGGCAAAGCAUCUGUUCUGCAUGCUGCGACAAGGUAUGGCUGGGCCAGGAGAUGAAGUGUAAGCAGACAAUGCUAUGCUGCGGAUUGGUGCCAAUCAUCACGUCCGAGUUCCCACGACAGUUAAGCACCACUGUGAUUUGCUUCAUUGACAAGGUGCCCUGCAAGCUCUCACCAAAGCAACACAUUCCACUGGUGGUCUGUCAACAGACUGGGUGUAUCGAAGUACCAUUAUAAGGUCCAAUAAACAAUGCUUGUCAGAUGUAUGAUAUGCCCUUUCUUAAAAUCGGAGGACUUUAGUAUUAAUGAAAGUUUGAAUGGGUGUACAGAAAAACAUACGUGAAGUAUACCUUUGUCUUUCUUUUACAAGUCAUCUUCACCUGACGUUUUUCCAUCUUAUAAUUACACUUUACUUUAGAUUUGUGAACAAACCAUUACAGCAACACAACACUGCAGUAAGAUGAGUA